GUUUGUAUAGGAAUUCUCAAAUCUGGGAGAUAAUGACUCAUAUUUAUUUCAACAAAUAUUUUAUUUAUAGAUAGUUUAUAAUUGCAGACUGAGGUUACCAAAGAAAAGGAAUAGGAGGAAAAUGCAGACACUCCUUGCUUUAACAUGAAGAGAAUAAAUGAGUCUUAGUACUGCUCAAUAACAAGAUUAGGACUUAGUGUUCCCUCAAACCCAUCAAUAUUCCAGAACCUUGCCACUUUAUCUACUUUCAAAUUAAACCCAGUAAUGAUUUCUCUAUGAUAACUCUGGUGAUAAAACUGCAGAACUAUAUAUUUAAAUGAAAACAUAAGGUUUUGGUGAAGGCUCCGCUCCAGCAUUUGAAUAAUAAUGAAGUACUUCCCUUUGCAGGGCUCAGUCAUUAGCACAUUCCACUGAGUUUAGGAGAAAGCAAUGCCCUCGUCUGGGCAUGUCCAAGGAAUAUAAGAAUUUCCAAAGCAGAAGGAGAAAGCCAGUAGUUCCGGGGAAGGAAAUUUGAAACUACCUCUUAUUGGAAGCUAUCAAUAAAAAAUGCUUGAAGAAUAGAAGGAGAGAGGAUGAAGCUGAAGCCACAUUUAAUCAACGCCCCCUCCCCCCCACCCCUAAAAAAAAAAAAAAAAAAGUUGGGGGCUUAAAAAGGAGCAGAAGCUGGCAAAUUCAGACUUCUGUGAGGCAAGUUAAGGACAUAGGAUUUGCAUAGAAUGAGACUGACAAGGCCAUGAAGCAUCUAAUCAGCUUGUCAGCUGCAUCCUGCAGGUUGCUACGACAAAAGAUUUUCUCCAAAAUAUACAGGAUGCCAUGGAGACUGACUGAAAAAAAGCUCUUAAUCCCUGCUUUGCUGGUGCUGACAGGAGAAUAGAUCUCUAGACACAUAGCAUAUUUGGAAUUGCUAAUCAGACAAGGAAGGGAAAUUCUCCUUAACAAGUGUCAGGCCCAGUGGAGCUUCUGCUGUGCAUGAUCCAAACUAACUCCAGGAAGAGCAUCUGUCCUUGCUCUCUUCCUGUAGGGAUGAGGAGGCUCCUGUGCUGGGGCCAGCCCUGGUAAGAAAAAGGGAGGAUGUUGCUGGCAUCCUAAGUAGUGGUCUCAUCAAUGCUACAGUGCACUCAGCAGGACCCAAACUGAUGUCUGAUGAUGUCUGUGCUUUGUCGGUGUCCUAAAUGAUUCAGGGGACACUGCACUAUUGUGUCACUCAAGCUUGUUCAUAAUUUAGGAUAACUUGGUUCCUACAAUCACAGCAAUAGAGACACAAUUGAAUUAAUCUAUUUAUGCUGCAUAACUUGGCACCUCUGAAACUGUUGCUGAAUGAUUUCGUAUUCCUUGUAGAGAUCCAAUAAAAUCUGUAGAAAAGAGCAAUAAACACUAGCAACAGAUCAUUUCAGUUUUAGUGUAGUAUAUUUCUUUGUGACUGUAAGAAGGAUAACGUGCAUGAAAAAAAUAAAUGACCCUUCUCCUUGACUGCGAAGUGUUGCUGAUUUUUCUUACUGUCCUUCUAAGUAAGAAACUUCAGUUUCUCUUCCAGGAGGGCUAAAUUGAUGGUAAUGUUGACAGACAAAAAGAAAAUCAAUUACAUUUUCAACACAGAUAUUAAUUUAGAGGUGGUCUGUGGACUAAUGUUACAAGGAAUUUUACUUUAAAAUUACAUUAUGACUGACUAACAUUAAUCUGUUUCAUUUGUAAGGUAUGCAUACUAAAUAACUGAUAUAAAUAGUUGUUCCUAUUGAAAAAACACUCAACUACCAAUAAAAUUCAAGUAUAAAACCGAUGAGACAGCUUUUUAGGCACCACCCCAAUUACUCCAGGAGUUCACAAAGCAACAUCUGCAGUCAUUAAAUAGUAUCUAUUUACUGUGGAAUUUACUGAUUAGAGCAAUUAAUCUCUUAAAACAUUUGCUUUGACUCCCUUAGAGCACACAUCUCUCUCAGGCUAUUGAAGCAUUUCUCUGGCUGCAUAUUCUAAGUCAAGAAGAUACCCACUGAUUCAGUAGACUUUGGAUUAGUUCCUUGGCUGUUGUUCAAUACAGCAUGGAAAACUUUUCCCUAUCUGUCAUGUGCUAAGUAUGGAAUACGAUCACACAAUCUCUAUGCAGUGUUCAUACUGCUUCUUACAUCUUGAUAGAAUCCAGAGUAACAGACAGCUCAGCUGUGCUACAUAAUGGAAAAGAAUGAAUAAAACAAGUAGAUCAGGGUCUGUACAAUAUAAUGCAGAAGUACCAUUGCAAGGAGCCAGCCAAUGUUACAAAUCCUGUUUCAGUGCUGGGCUUGCAAGACUCAGGCUAUUCUCCAGAAUUCUUGAUUGUGAACUUUAACUCAUGCACAGAUAAAACUUGGAUCCAUUGAGCCUAUUACUCAAAGCUCUGUGGGAAAGUAGGUGUACAUCUGGGUCUGUUCCAGCCCUGGAAGCAGUACAGCUGUAUUAACAAUGUGCUUCGUGUAUCACUAAAUGCUCUGCUGGACUUGAUGUUUUGUAUCCCUAGCACGGAUGAUCAACAGAGCACAUUACCUGCUUAAGGAUAAAUGAGAGUUGGCUGCAUUUGCCAAAUGUGAAUCAGUGUUUCUGUUAGAUGUAGUGUGUAAACUUGAAGUUAUAUACAGUUCUUUUAGACCACCAGUUCCAUAGGAUUCUUAUUAUCUUUUUGAUUGUUAAUAAUAAUAAAAAAAAGAAUGUUGGCGAGAAAAACAACUGUGGGCUAAUCACAUAUCAAAAAAUGUUAUUAAAAAUAAAUUAUAUCUCAAAGUUUUUAAUAGGCUUUUGCUGUAAUAUAAUUGCAUACUAAAAACAAAUUGAAAAUUGGUAUUUUAUCACAGAAUCAUAGAAUAUCUUGGGUUGGAAAGAACCUUAAAGUCUACCUAGUUCCAACAUCUGCUUUGGGCAUGGCUGCCACCCCCCAGCUCAGAUGCCCAGGCCCCAUCUAACUUGGUUUCCAAUACCUCCAGGGAUGGGGCACUCACAAUUUCUCUGGGCAGUUGUGCCAGUGCCUCACCACCCUCUGAGAAAAAAGAAAUCCUGAUGUGUAAUCUAAAUCUCCUACCUUUUAGUUUGAAAACAUUACCCCAAGUGAUGAUUAAAGUAUUGUAUUAAAUGCUUUCUUACAUUGCUAUAAGAGGGCCUGAACCUUGGAGAUUAAAGGGAAGAAAAAGAAAAAGCCAGUGUAAGAUGUAGUAAGUAAGAAUAAGAGUAAAUAUAUGAAAUGUAUUGGAGCAGGUCCGGAGGAGGACCAUGAAGAUGAUCAGAGGGCUGGAACAUCUCCCACAUGAGGACAGCCUGAGAGAGCUGGGGUGCUUCAGUAUGGAGAAGGCUCUGAGGAGACCUUAUAGUGGCCUUCCAGUACCUGAAGUAUGCUUACAGGAAAGCUGGGGAGGGACUUUUUGUAAGAGCUACAGGAUGAGGGGAAAUGGUUUUAAACUGAAAGAGGGUAGAUUUAGAUUAGAUAUUAUGAAGAAAUUCUUAACUGUGAGGGUGGUGAGACACUGGAACAGGUUGCCCAGUGAGGUUGUGAAUGACCCUUCCCUGGACGCAUUCAAGGCCAGGCUGGAUGGGGCUGUGAACAACCUGGUGUAGAGGGACAUAUCCCUGCCUACAGCAGGGGGAUUGGAACUAGGUGAUCUUAAAGGUCCCUUCCAACCCAAACCAUUCUAUGAUUCAUUCUAUGAUUCUAUUCUAUGAAAUUAAUUAGUUAAUAAUAAUAGUUCUGUAUUGUAAUUGAAAGCCUUAAAAAAAAGUAUAUUCUUACAUAUGAUCAAAGUAUAUCACAAAGAAACAGAAAAAAAAAAAAGCUAAAGAAAGGUCAAUGUCAGUUGAAGUUAUUCAGAACAGUAUAUCAGUGGAUAUAUAUAUCAUGGAUCCAUUUAAUCAUGUUGAUCUGUUGAACUGCAGGUAUGCAGAUUCAAAUAAGAUAAUUCUGAGAUUCAGAAUUAUAUUUACAGUUCAUUUUAAAAUGCUGGCCCAAGGAAAAUUAUUGUUGUCUGGCAAAGUAUCUCUUAGUCUGUUAUUCUGCUUUGUACAAAUGUAUUUAAAACAAAUGUAUGUAUGUCGAAGGACAUUUGAAAGACAGGGAUUUUUAGUAGAAAUUUUGUGUGAGUCUUCUGAAUCUACUCAGAAAUUUAAAAUAUCAGGAGCUUUACAGGAUUUACCUUCCCAAGGAUUGACAAACAGGCUGAUUCGGUAAGAUGAAACAGUAAUUAAGUACUUUCAUAUAUUCAGUUCCAGACGGGUUAGUAACACAUUCCAAGCUGAUAUGAAUGGCACAAUUUGUCCUCUGGAAUUGCAUCUUUCUCUCCACUAAGAAUGAAGUGAAGGCCAGAGAGGUGAAGCUCCAUUCCUAUAACCAGGCUUGCACAUCUUUACACUCUGUAAGUCUGGCUCAGCUACAGAUACUUAUGCACACGAAUAACCUUUUCACAUCAAUAUCCUCCUGAAGACCACAGAGUAACAGUUAACUGAAGAAAAGAAUGUGUAUACAUCUCUAGGGUCAUACCUCAUUCUGUGUCUCUAUUUUUGAAUAUGUUUCCAAUUCAGAGGUCACUGUUAAAAAUUCUUGCACAUCAUAAGGCUUAUGUUCAGGAAAGAGGGUGUCAUCAAUGACUGUGUAUCUCAGGGCAUUAUGUCCUUUCUAAGGAAACAGAAAACUGUGGUGAGUAGCAGCGAAGAAAUUGUCUAGUAUAAAACUGAAACUGAAAUUUAUUUUCAAAGUGGAGAAAAGGGGGUGCCAAGAAGGAACACUUGCCUGAUCCAAACACACUGGCAUCUACUUUGGUGUUUUUAGUUCAGACUGUGAAUCCAAAAUAUAAUCCUGUUUUCAUUGACAGUGAAGAUCUUAACCAGCAUAGAUAUUGGCUUGGAUUGCCCAACCAAAAUCCCAGGAGUUGCUCAUUAAUUCAGCAAGCCACAUUUCCUGUAAGAGAGAAUUACCUGAAGAUAGAUUGACAAUGGUGAUCUGUUUCAGUCUCUUUCAUUACUAGAUGCUUUAGCUAUUGUUUUUCCCUGGGACAAUAGUUUUUAUUACUGCUUAUCCAUAUUUCCAGAAAUAUAGCAAAUCAUGUGCAUCUUGAAAUAAAAUGGAAGCAUGAAAAUGAUACUAAAAAUCAUUCAAAAGUCAUUGAAAAUAAAAUAUUUGUUUGUUUCAGACUUAGAAAAUAUACAGCCAGACAAUAUAAAUUAGGUAAUUUCCUUACCUGUUUCACUCUAACCUAGACAGGUUCAACAAGUUCAGAAACACUGGUGAAAAGGCAAGAUAAGAGGUAGGUAGUCUGGGCUAGCUUGUGUAUGUAUAUUCAUGAGGUGGGAUGACUGUCAGUGAGAUAUUGGUGGGAGUACUGGGUCACUUGCCUGGGUUUUGGAAUGAAAUAUCCAAAGAAAAACCAUCUUGUGUGAUCUUGAAAAUCAAUUCAUUAACAGGAAAGCUGUGUCACAUGGAGUAGUGCAUAUUAUUUCUAUUUGUAAAUAUUUUCAACAUGUGAAAAUGACAAAGAAGGCCACACAAAUACUGUAAAAAAAGAUAGAAAUAACAGAUCCAGUACUUAUUUAGGAAAGUAAACAAAACAAAACAAAUAAACAUUUCUUUUCUCUUUUGUUUGGUGACACUCCGGCUGCAAAAAUUAGAGUUAUGGCUCUUCUAACUUCCCAGUACAAAAGAAAUACUGUUCUUUGUUCUGUCCUAAUGCCUAGGUUUUCAUGGGUUGGGUUUUCAUGGGUUGGGUUUUCAUGACUCAUUUCUCCUUUACUGCAUCUGGGUGCUGGUACCUGGAGAAAUGAAUAAGAAUGGGUAGAACAUACCCGUCUUGGUUAUCCUGCAAAUCUGAAAGUGUUUUGAUAUUCUGGUCCACACUGAUGGCAUGAGUAGUUUUUCUCUUUUAUCUCUGUCAAGAAUUUUUAGAUUUGAGAUAUCUGCUUUACAAUUCAGGUGGAGCAUGAGAGAGAACCUGGGCUGAAGUUAAAUCUGUCACAUCCAGAACACAGCAUGAAUAAUUUUCCUCUGAUUUACAGUUUGGUGUAACUUGUUAUGAAGAUGUCAGUAGUUUGUCUUUUUCUCCUUUUAAAGUGGUGACACAGUGAAUGACCAGAACAUGCUCUCUGCAUUGAUUAGUAGUAGAAGCUUUAGCAUGACUAGCUCUAAACAGACAUUUGAAAGAUGAGAGUGAAGAAUUUUUUAAAAUGGCACAGUGUGAAAAUUUCACUUGUAGGGUCUUUAUAUGGAGCAAAGAGGUUAUCCACCUAAGGACAAAUAUAAAGUGCAAUGAAAGCUCAAUUUAAAAGCAAGACACCUGCAGCUUGCAGCUCAAUAAACUCUUUUUUUUUCUUUUUUUCUUUUUUUUUUGGGGGGGGGGAGGAAAAUUAAUAGUGAAAGAUUGAGACUAAUUUUCAUGUUUUUAACUUCAAUACUCAAGUAUUAUCUGUUCAUCCAAUGUUUUGCUGCAACCUGUGGUUACUGUGUCUACCAUCCACACUAGACGAUGGGAAGAGGACCUGCACAAUAGGAAAUGUUCUUGCUUAACCCCAGGCAACAGCCCUAACUGAGCAUGAUAAUUCAAAAGAAGGAUUGAUCAAAAUGGGAAACUGCAGACCUCUGGUGACAUUGCAAAUGAGGUGAAGGAAACAGCACAAUUAUUUGUGUAGAUAUGGUGGCAUGGCAUCCCCCUGGAAUUCAGGCUGAGACAGGGAGACUUGGGCAACUCCUAGAAGAGACCAGUAAAGCCAGUUGCAGAACAAACUCUGUCUUCCUUUGUAUCUCAUAUUUUUCACCUGAUUUUAAAUAUGCUUUUCUCUCCACUCCUGCUGUAACGGUAAGCAGGAAUUUAUUCUUAGUUCCUAAAACAGAAGCAGGAAAGCAGUGUUAAUAAUUACUUUUACAAAUCUGUAAUGAGAUAAAAAAAACAAGUGCCUUAACCUAGGUAGAGAAGAAUUAUUUGUGGGGCUUUAGCUUUCUUUCAAUUAAGAACAAAAAUCAGAAGGAAUUCCAGUUAGAAAAAAAUGAACUUAAAAUUUUACUACGAUUGAGAAGACUCAAUAUCACAACAGUAAUACUCAGAUUGCCCAGCCUAGUGUGAAUACAGAAACAUGGGAAUAUAGUUUAUGUCUCAGCUGGAAUCAGCUUGCUCAUAUCUAUGAUACUCAAAAUUGUAUGAACUAUAUGAACAUCACUGUUUUGCUUGAUUCCUGUAAGCACAUCAUGCAACUGAGUUCUGGUGAGGAGGAAGCAAUGCUAUUUGCCUUUAUAUUAUGUGAUUUGGGUGGGAGGGCUGUGUUGUUUCUGUUGUUUUUUCUUGGCAUUUGUGUUGAUAUAAUAUAUAUUCAUCAUUUAUAAUAUGCCAGUAAAAAUCUGUUAAAGAUGCUGUCGUUGAGUUACUCAAGUACAAAAAGCUUGCAGAAAUAGUAUUCUCCAAGUUUACUGUAAUUUUCAAGAAGCUUAUAAAAUGUAUAUACAUUUGAAGGGUUAGUUGAGAAAUUUCCCACUAGUCAUUGCUGCUAUAGUUAUGUUGUAUGAACAAAAGGCAACAUGUUUACUGUCUUUGUUUUGCUUUUUCAGGCUCUGUAAUCUGCAGUGAACCAUGCACUGAAUUUCUGCCUCUGGUGAUGUAAUAUUCCUUUUAUCCAUUAUAAUAUACUCUGCAAAAGACAGAAUACAAAUAGCACAAUGAGAAACAUUUACUCAUACUUUUUACUCCAUUUUCUAAUGUAUUUCUUUUCAGGAUAGGAAAACACAGGCUACCAACUAAUGUAUUUUGUUUCUGAUCUGACAGCGAAGAGUGGUAAAGAGACAAGAGGAAAGGGGUACCUUGUCUGUUUAGUCAGGCAUGUCCACGCUGUGGCUUGCAGGCCACAUUUAGCCCAGCACAGCUCAUGCUGCGGCUGCCCCCUGACUCGUGCCAUCACAGGGUGGCUAUUCUCUGCCUGGCCUGGCCUUCAGCACCAACUGAUCAUCAGUGUGCUCUUAACCCCAUCUGGGCUGAAACCAGGGCACAGAGGGCAGUGCAGUACCAGCUCAGGUUAUUGAAAAUAAGUUUAUGGAUUUUGAUACACUGGCUAAACAUUAGUCCCCUGAUGACAGUGGUUAACCUCCGCUGGUGCAGAUUAUGAUGAGCACGACAUGCAGGCUUUUGUUCACCUUUGGUGAAAAUGCAUAGUUAAUGGUGGUGACUGUGUUGUUCCAUAAGAAGUUGACCUCCAAUGUCUGCUGAAUCCUCCUCCCCAUACAGCAGUAUGAGACUGAGAGGAAGAAUGCAUGGAGUGAUACCCCAGAUGCAGUGUGGGAGUGUUUGCUGAGCUACACCAGACUACACCAGAAAGAGAGGAAAAUUCUCUUUACACUGGAUAACUUAAAACUGCACUGAUUCCAAGAAACUGCAUUGACUCCAAGAACUGAUGAAGGAACUUGACAAGUAUCAUGUAAACGUCUCCUGGCACAGAGAUAUGACUUGGCCUAAGAGAUACCCUUCAUGACUGUUGUCUAAUACCAACAUGUUUUAAAUGGCAGCCUUAUGUCUAGCAUUGCUUUUGGCCUUUCUCCUCCUCACAUCCUCAUAGCCUUAGCAAUGUCUAGCUGUGGGUAUUCCUCCAACCCCAUAUCAUCCACUCUUUAAAUUGAAUUGGAAGAUUUGGACGCUUUUCUUUCAUUAAAAUGUAAAACAAACAAAAGAAAAAAAUUGAAACAACAACAACAAAACAAACAAACAAACAAAAAAACCAACCCACAAACAAAACCAAAACAAAACAGAACACAGGUUGAACUAUGACAGCACACACGUCAGUGCAACCCAGGCUCAGGUCUUUCUGGCAGAUACCUGGCAAGGAGUGCGCAAGUAUGACAAUGGUGCAGUGGUAUUCUGCUGUAACACCAUCCUGCCCUUGUGCUGUGCUCUGUAAGGGAUGUAGGCUUUGUGACUGCUUGGCUCAGUGCACAGACAGUGUUUCAUGAUCUUGAAAGUUUUACCAAAUUAACAAUCUUUACUGAAGCAUAGAUGUAGCGGAGCCUCAUCCAACACUAUGAAUAGGAUAAACAUGCUGGGUUACAUUCAUUUUGCACUUCAUAUUUGUAUAUAAAUCUAAAAUAACUCUGUAAAAACAUGAAAAGUAAGUUUGCACAGUGAAGGCAAAAGGAUGCACUGGUCAGGAUGCGCUCACUUUUUAGGCUUUCAGAUGAGGUAUCUUAAAUAGGAGCUUAAUUCCUCCAGGUGCUCUUCUCAAAGGAAAUACAGAUGUCUUCCACAUAAAGGAUCAGCUUUGUAUAGAAAAGGUCACCGAAGUUACUCCAAUUAUGUUUUCUAAGAAUUAUGGUUUAUCUGUCAUUUGCUACAAAUUGUCUCAUUGUCUUCCUGCCUCUGAACACCUCAACUGCUGAAUUUCUUAAAAAAAUAAAUAAAUAAAAUGAAAUUGCACCCAGAGUUAUUUUCUGGUCCUUUUAUAAAAGACUGAAUGGUAAACGCACAGGUUACAUUUCUGUGUUGUCAUCUUUUGGUCUGACUGUUACUCUCCUAUGAGAACUGAUCUCACUCUCUGGUUAAUAACUAACACUUGUAAGGUAUCAAAAACAUCAUUCAUUCACAUUUUUUUCUUAAAUACAGAAUUAAUUUAAUCCACAAUGAACUUUCCUCUUAUUGUAGUAGCUUUCAGUUUUUGUGUAUAUUUUAUACUCCUCAAAUGCCUUAAUAAAAAAUUUUGGUUUGAGCUAGUCAAACAGAUGUCAUAGCAGAAAUAAGCCAUACUGUUUUAUGACCACACAAUGACCUUGACUUUGCCAAUAAACUACUGGCGUGUGAAGGGUAUUGUUUCCUUGUUGGAUAUUGGACCUCUCCUGAAAAUAGGAUAGGUUUGAUUAAUUCAGGUCAAAUUUAUUCUGAGUGUAACCUCACUGAAAUCAGAAGAAUUACAUUAAAGGAGCAGGUUUUGCUGCAUAAGUUUUAUAUUGGCUAGGUAUAGUCUCCCUUCCUUCACUUGGGAGGAUUUCUGAUAUUCAUUAACCUUUCAGAGCAAGUUUUAUACGAACUGCUCAUUUUUGUCUUAGAAGCUGAUUUAAUUUAAUAUUCUCUACAGCAAACAAAGCAAUAGUUCAAUUUCAGAAAAAACCUUAUGUCAUCCCCCAGUGAAUCACUUACAGGUACUUAACAGAAAGCAAUGUAAGAUAGAAAAUACAGAAAAGUGAAAAUGCCUCUGAACGUUCAAGAGGAUAACAAAUUAGUAAAGCAAGUCAGCAUGGCAGAGAUGAAAGCACAGAGAAUUAUUCAUCUAGAUGGUGAACCAGUUUUUUUUACCAACACAGUGCUAAUGACUGAAUGGAGUUGUGCUAGUGUUUCUGGUGUCUUGAGCCAGAGGCUUCACUACAAUUUAAUAAUACACCUUAGCCUUCACAAAGCUUGGCAGUAGUGUUCAAAUAAUGUGUUUAUUUCAUGCACCUGCAAAGUUUGAAUAAAUGUGAAGAUUUUUUUAU
ensembl:lncRNA